AGAGUUUGAUCCUGGCUCAGAAUGAACGCUGGCGGCGUGCUUAACACAUGCAAGUCGAACGAGAAAGUUCCUUCGGGAACGAGUAAAGUGGCGAACGGGUGCGUAACACGUGAGUAUUUACCCUUUAGUGAUGGAUACCCUCGAGAAAUCGGGGCUAAUACAGCAUAAGUCUUUUCGAAGAGAAAGGUGGCCUAUUUGCUACCGCUGAAGGAUAAGCUUGCGGACUAUUAGCUUGUUGGUGAGGUAAAGGCUCACCAAGGCAAAGAUGGUUAGCCGACCUGAGAGGGUGAUCGGCCACAUUGGGACUGAGAUACGGCCCAGACUCCUACGGGAGGCAGCAGUGGGGAAUAUUGCACAAUGGGCGCAAGCCUGAUGCAGCGACGCCGCGUGGAGGAUGACGGUUUUCGGAUUGUAAACUCCUGUUAAGAGGGAAGAAAGACUUUCGGUUAAUACCCGGAAGGGAUGACGGUACCUCUAGAGAAAGCUCCGGCUAACUUCGUGCCAGCAGCCGCGGUAAUACGAGGGGAGCUAGCGUUAUUCGGAAUAACUGGGCGUAAAGCGUGCGUAGGCGGUCUAUUAAGUCAGUUGUUAAAUCCCUUGGCUCAACCAAGGAACUGCGAUUGAAACUGAUGGACUGGAGGGUAGGAGAGAGAAGUGGAAUUCUUGGAGUAGCGGUAAAAUGCGUAGAUCUCAAGAGGAACACCGAUUGCGAAGGCAGCUUCUUGGCCUAUACCUGACGCUGAGGUACGAAAGCGUGGGGAGCAAACAGGAUUAGAUACCCUGGUAGUCCACGCCGUAAACGAUGAUCACUAGAUGUGGGGCUUGCUUGCAAGCUCCGUGUCGUAGCUAACGCGUUAAGUGAUCCGCCUGGGGAGUACGGCCGCAAGGCUAAAACUCAAAGGAAUUGACGGGGGUCCGCACAAGCGGUGGAACAUGUGGUUUAAUUCGACACUACGCGAGAAACCUUACCUGGAUUUGACAUGUACUUGAUCGGUGUAGAGAUACAUCUUUCUUAGUUUACUAAGACAGGUACACAGGUGCUGCAUGGCUGUCGUCAGCUCGUGUCGUGAGAUGUUGGGUUAAGUCCUUUAACGAGCGCAACCCUUGUCGCUAGUUGCUAAUCUUAGUGAAGCACUCUAGCGAGACUGCCUGGGGAACCAGGAGGAAGGUGGGGACGACGUCAAGUCAUCAUGGCCCUUAUGUCCAGGGCAACACACGUGUUACAAUGGCGAGUACAAAGGGCAGCGAUACCGCGAGGUGGAGCCAAUCCCAUAAAGCUCGUCUAAGUUCGGAUUGAAGUCUGCAACUCGACUUCAUGAAGUUGAAAUCGCUAGUAAUCGCGUAUCAGAACGACGCGGUGAAUACGUUCUCGGACCUUGUACACACCGCCCGUCACACCACGAAAAUUGUCUACGCCAGAAGUGGCCUUAGCUAACCUGAAAGGGAGGCGGGUUACCAAGGUGAGGAUAGUGAUUGGGGUGAAGUCGUAACAAGGUA
rnacentral:rRNA from 1 species